rnacentral:rRNA from 1 species
UACGUAGGGUGCGAGCGUUAAUCGGAAUUACUGGGCGUAAAGCGUGCGCAGGCGGUUUUGUAAGCCAGAUGUGAAAGCCCCGGGCUCAACCUGGGAAUGGCAUUUGGGACUGCAAGGCUGGAGUAUGGCAGAGGAGACUAGAAUUCCUGGUGUAGCAGUGAAAUGCGUAGAUAUCAGGAGGAAUACCGAUGGCGAAGGCAGGUCUCUGGGCCAAUACUGACGCUCAUGCACGAAAGCUAGGGUAGCAAACGGG